UACAUGGGGUGCAAACGUUGCUCGGAAUUAUUGGGCGUAAAGCGCACGUAGGCGGUUUGUUAAGUCGGAUGUGAAAUCCCUCGGCUCAACUGAGGAAGUGCAUCCGAAACUGGCAGGCUUGAGUACUAAAGAGGGUCGCGGAAUUCCCGGUGUAGAGGUGAAAUGCGUAGAUACCAGGAGGAACACCGGUGGCGAAGGCGGCUUCCUGGCCCAGUACUGACGCUGAGGCACGAAAGCGUGGGGAGCGAACGGG
rnacentral:rRNA from 1 species